AUAUAUUUUUCAGCUUUUAGCUAAAUCAAAUGUAGUAUCUGUUCCUAUCAAUUUAAUAUUAAUAUCUGAUAUGUGAGCUAUGUGCCCACUUUGAUAUUAAAAUUUAUUUUUUAUGAAAGAGGAUCCACUUUAUUGGCUUGCUAUUGGGGGUCUUACAUGUCACCUAGACGUUGCACUACAGCUUGGGGCUGGUGCACCCUAA